UACGGAGGGUGCAAGCGUUACUCGGAAUCGCUGGGCGUAAAGGGCGCGUAGGCGGCCUAGCAAGUCUGGUGUGAAAGCCCAGGGCUCAACCCUGGAAGGGCACUGGAAACUGUUAGGCUUGAGUUCCGGAGAGGAGGGGGGAAUUCCCGGUGUAGCGGUGAAAUGCGUAGAUAUCGGGAGGAAUACCGGUGGCGAAGGCGCCCCUCUGGACGGAAACUGACGCUGGGGAGCGAAAGCGUGGGGAGCAAACAGG
rnacentral:rRNA from 1 species